rnacentral:rRNA from 1 species
GAUGAACGCUAGCGACAGGCUUAACACAUGCAAGUCGAGGGGUAGCAGGGGGUAGCAAUACUUUGCUGACGACCGGCGCACGGGUGAGUAACACGUAUGCAGCUUACCUAUCAGAGGGGGAUAGCCCGGCGAAAGUCGGACUAAUACCGCAUAAAACAGGGGUCCCGCAUGGGAAUAUUUGUUAAAGAUUUAUUGCUGAUAGAUAGGCAUGCGUUCCAUUAGGCAGUUGGCGGGGUAACGGCCCACCAAACCGACGAUGGAUAGGGGUUCUGAGAGGAAGGUCCCCCACAUUGGUACUGAGACACGGACCAAACUCCUACGGGAGGCAGCAGUGAGGAAUAUUGGUCAAUGGGCGCGAGCCUGAACCAGCCAAGUCGCGUGAAGGAUGAAGGUUCUAUGGAUUGUAAACUUCUUUUAUUGGGGAAUAAAGUGCAGGACGUGUCCUGUUUUGUAUGUACCCAACGAAUAAGCAUCGGCUAACUCCGUGCCAGCCGCCGCCGUAA